UAAUCUGAAAGGAAGCAUGAAAUUCUCAAUAAGGCAUAGACUGGUUAUCUUAUGUAUGUAAUACUUAUGCAUAGAUAGGUAUUUUAUGUUGAAAAACUACCCUGUUAUUGUAUCAAAAGUGUGGUUAUUGCGGAUGUGAGGAAACCUUUCCCCAACACCCAUCCUGUAACCUCCUUCAGUGAGCAAGAGUUGCAGAGCAUGGCAGAAACUUUUCCACAGAGAAGCUCCAAUCUGCCACCUCUUUUUCUACUCCUUCACUCCCUCCCUCCCUUCCUUUCCCUACCUACCCUCCCAAACAAAUUAACAUUUCUGGAGUAUACUUGAAAGCCCUAAAAAAGAGUGAGGUCAACGAAAUAUUAGCAACAAACUGGACAAAGGACAUUGCAUGAAGAUCGGCAAGCAAGAAGUUCUCCAAAAUGAGUGUUCCACUUUUGGAAUAAUUAAAAUGCCCAGAGGAUUCUUAACAAGCCGGCUUUAUUUAAAAGGCAUCUCACAGCAGCUGACUGACAAGAAGGAUGAAGUUAGGCAAAACGGCAGCCAAGAGAGUCAAUGGAAGUGUGAAAUGUGCUAAGCCAGCUCAGCACGGCUGCAGGCAUGCCAGGGGGGAUGAGCUUGGGGGGAGAAGUGGGAAUGGUGCUGCCGGAGGAACUGGGCAGUCACCCAGUCAAGGGGGAUGGCAGGGAUAGAGCUGGCCUAAGGCAAACAGCCUGAGCAGGAGCAAGGAGUGAGAUGGAGGAAACAUGGCCUCAAGAAGUGUGUGUUUGCACUUCUAGCUAAGGUAAGUGCCAGGAGAUCUGAACGAGAAGGUUUCCUGAAAAAACAAGCAAUACUAUUAUGAGAAAAGUGAACGUUCUAACUUUCUCGCUUUGGCGACAAUCUCUUACAGAUACUAAGGGUGGCCUGAACAGCUCUAGUAAAUGACACUGCUAAAGUAUCGUGUUUUCAUGCAGGCGUGAAGAAGUUAGCUCGGUUCUGUUCUGGCAUCGCAGUUCAUCUGACAUGAGCGUCGAAUUCGAUCCCAUAUGUCCUGUGAAUCUUUUUGGCAGUUUCUGGCUGUGUCCCAAACUUCAGCAUGUAGGGUGAAGGUGUUAUGAUAUUUCUCUAAGAGACUGCAGGUGAAAUGCUAAGGCUGGGAAUACGCCUGAGCCAGGCUGAGAGUUCAGACUUCCCACAAACACAGCAGGAGGGGAUGGUGGAGAGAGCAAAGGCUUCCCAGAUAUGGCCAGGGAACCAAAAAACCAUAUUUUGUGAGCAACCUUUAUUCAUUCUCUUUCCUUAAAACUGCUUUAUAGGUCUCUGCAGAUUUAUAUUAAAGGCUUCUAUAAAGGA